UACGGAGGGUGCAAGCGUUAUCCGGAUUCACUGGGUUUAAAGGGUGCGUAGGUGGAUUGGUAAGUCAGUGGUGAAAUCUCCGGGCUUAACCCGGAAACUGCCAUUGAUACUAUCAGUCUUGAAUACCGUGGAGGUCAGUAGAAUAUGUCAUGUAGCGGUGAAACGCUUAGAUAUGACAUAGAAUACCAAUUGCGAAGGCAGCUGGCUACACGAAUAUUGACACUCAGGCACGAAAGCGUGGGGAUCAAACAGG
rnacentral:rRNA from 1 species